GAAGCAUCAAAGAAGUCACUGAUGGAAGAGUAUAUGCCCAGAACUCUGUCGUCCAACCUCAUGGCAUGUCUCCACAAUAUCUGUUCAGGAGUAACUCUACACAUCUAGAGAAGUGUGGGACAGAAGCAGAGAAGGACCGCUCUCAAGUUAAACAGCAACAUGGCCAGUGCAUGGUUGCCAAGUCGUCCGCUAGUAUGAGUUUUGAGAUGAACACUAACCCAUAUUACCAUACACAGGCAAGGGUAGCACAGUUGGGAGGUCAAAUCGCCAUGGAUGCAAAAUUACUACAGGCACAAACACAGUUUGGUGCAGUCGGUGCUGCAGCUGUCGCUGUUGCUGCUCACAGAGAGGUCGGCACCGUUCAGUAUGGUCUAUAACCUAGUCGAUACUAUUGUUUGAUGGUUCUUUGAAUCAAGUGAGGACAUCCACCUUGCAGUGAGACAGUUCACGAUAUGCAUUUUCCCUCAAAUCAAUCAGCAUGGGAGAUUUGAAGAGGGAUCUGUUAACCCGGUUAAUGAUUUUACCAUUUAUUAGUUGUCAGGGUCUCUAAAUAGGUAUUCUUUAGGUUCAGGUUGCCCUGUUGAGUUAGUAUUUAU
rnacentral:misc_RNA from 1 species